GAGAGUGGUGUAGUGGUUUGAGCAAGGGACUGUGAUUCUGCAGACCAGGGUUCGAUUCCCUGCUUGGCCA